CGCCCGCCCGCCCUCCGCGGCUGCAGAGCGACGCGGACCCGACGCCCCUCGCCGUCCGGAGCCAGAGCCGGAGCCUGCGCCGGGGCCGCCCUCGAGGCUGCCCUGCAGGCCCUGCCUCUACUGGGACCUUUCCCAGCCCUCUGACCUGACCUGAAAGAUGAGGGCACUGAGAGCCAGAGCAGUUAAGUCAUAUGCCCAGUGUCACCCAGCUGGAAGGAGCUGUGCUGGAGUCCAGGGGCUGCCUGCACCUAGGAAGGCCUUAGGGGGCCUUGUGCCAGACCCCAUCUAGCCAGAGCCCGAGCAAGAGCUGCUGCUCCACUGGUGAGGUGCCAAGGU
rnacentral:lncRNA from 1 species